UACGGAGGGAGCUAGCGUUGUUCGGAAUUACUGGGCGUAAAGCGCGCGUAGGCGGCUUUGUAAGUUAGAGGUGAGAGCCCGGAGCUCAACUCCGGAACUGCCUUUAAGACUGCAUCGCUUGAAUCCGGGAGAGGUGAGUGGAAUUCCGAGUGUAGAGGUGAAAUUCGUAGAUAUUCGGAAGAACACCAGUGGCGAAGGCGGCUCACUGGACCGGUAUUGACGCUGAGGCGCGAAAGCGUGGGGAGCAAACAGG
rnacentral:rRNA from 1 species